CAGACUCAGUGGUUAUUUAUGUUCCAGAUAACUCCCUGCCCUUGGUUUGGAGGAGCCUUCAUUGUUCCCUUCUGCUCAGGGAAUGAUUUCUUUAAUGCAACAGCCUCUCUUGGUCCAUCAGUGCAGUCGAUGCCUCUGCAGGGUCCCUGCCGAGAGACCCAGGGGAUGUUGCAGCCGGUGAAGGGGUUUUCCAGGUUGGAUCGUGCUCUGCUCAGCACCACUACAGUGCCCUCUUGUGGAACCCUCUCCUCUGCUCCCUUUCCACUGUUACUCCCCAAGGAAACGAUUGCUCACACGGAGCAAGAGCACU